rnacentral:rRNA from 1 species
GACGAACGCUGGCGGCGUGCUUAACACAUGCAAGUCGAACGGUAAGGCCCUUCGGGGUACACGAGUGGCGAACGGGUGAGUAACACGUGGGUGAUCUGCCCUGCACUUCGGGAUAAGCCUGGGAAACUGGGUAUAAUACCGGAUAGGACUCCUGGCUUCAUGGUUGGGGGUGGAAAGCUUUUGCGGUGUGGGAUGGGCCCGCGGCCUAUCAGCUUGUUGGUGGGGUAAUGGCCUACCAAGGCGACGACAGGUAGCCGGCCAGAGAGGGUGAACGGUCACACGGGGACGGAGAUACGGCCCAGACUCGUGCGGGAUGCAGCAGUGGGGAAUAUUGCACAAUGGGCGCAAGCCUGAUGCAGCGACGCCGCGUGAGGGAUGACGGCCUUCGGGUUGUAAACCUCUUUCAGCUAUGACGAAGCGCAAGUGACGGUAGUAGCAGAAGAAGGACCGGCCAACUACGUGCCAGCCGCCGCCGUAA